rnacentral:rRNA from 1 species
CAGUACCACGGGAAUACAGAGGGUGCGAGCGUUAAUCGGAUUUACUGGGCGUAAAGCGUGCGUAGGCGGCUUCUUAAGUCGGAUGUGAAAUCCCUGAGCUUAACUUAGGAAUUGCAUUCGAUACUGGGAAGCUAGAGUAUGGGAGAGGAUGGUAGAAUUCCAGGUGUAGCGGUGAAAUGCGUAGAGAUCUGGAGGAAUACCGAUGGCGAAGGCAGCCAUCUGGCCUAAUACUGACGCUGAGGUACGAAAGCAUGGGGAGCAAACAGGAUUAGAUACCCCUGUAGUCCCUGUCUCUUAUACA